rnacentral:rRNA from 1 species
UACGUAGGGUGCGAGCGUUGUCCGGAAUUAUUGGGCGUAAAGGGCUCGUAGGCGGUUUGUCGCGUCGGGAGUGAAAACUCAGGGCUUAACCCUGAGCCUGCUUCCGAUACGGGCAGACUAGAGGUAUGCAGGGGAGAACGGAAUUCCUGGUGUAGCGGUGAAAUGCGCAGAUAUCAGGAGGAACACCGGUGGCGAAGGCGGCUUUCUGGACAGAAACUGACGCUGAUGCGCGAAAGCUAGGGGAGCAAACAGG